UACAGAGGUCUCAAGCGUUUGUUCGGAUUCAUUGGGCGUAAAGGGUGCGUAGGCGGCGCGGUAAGUCGGGGUGUGAAAUCUCGGAGCUUAACUCCGAAACUGCAUUCGAUACUGCCGUGCUUGAGGACUGGAGAGGAGACUGGAAUUUACGGUGUAGCGGUGAAAUUCGUAGAUAUCAGGAGGAACACCGGUGGCGAAGGCGGUUCUCUGGGCAUGUUCUGACGCUGAGGAGCGAAAGUGUGGGGAGCGAACAGG
rnacentral:rRNA from 1 species